GCACUGACAAGUCUGGCCCGUCAAAGUGUUUUUACAGGAGUAGUACCUGCCACAGCUGCCUCAGGUAUGAGAAGACAUUUAAAGCAACAAGCAAGACCUAGGUGUAAAUCGUUGUUGCUUUCAAAAUAAAACCAGCUGGAUAAAAAUCGCCCGUGAAGAAGAACCGUACAAUCGUUCAGGUUAUGGUUAAGGUGUUAUGGCUCAGAUAACAAAGUAAUGCAACUUUAGCUGAAAAAAGGAAAUGUACAUAAUGAGUACGUAUUUGGUCAUGUUAAACGUUGUAUUUCAAUAUGGGUUUUAUUUUGAAACUUGGGAAGGGACGUCUCUCUAACUUUGGAGUUAGUUACACCUUGCUGCGUCCCACCCAUAAAACCUGUGUGCAUUUGCCAUAAAAGUGCACAGGUGGGUCUGUGAGACGUGGACAGAGGACAGCUACGGACCCAAAUGGAGAGCAAGACUCCGUCCAAAGGUCCUGUCGGAGCAGGUGCCUGUGGUCUGCAGCCCCUUCCUGAGGUAGCCGAGCCCGAAGACCUGAGCAAUGUGGAGGGCAGCAAGUGCCAACCCGGACACCCUGCAGGGGCAAGAGAUGCAAAGGAGGUGCACUCAUUGGACAGCUCUCCGUCUUCCUCGGAGAGCGAGGACGAGGGUCUCUGCAAGAAAGACAAGAAGAAGAAAAAGCUGAAAAAGAAAACAAAGAAGAAGAAGAAGAAGGAUUCCAGCUCAUCCUCUUCCUCCUCCUCCUCCUCCUCCUCCUCCUCCAGUAGCUCUUCAGAGAGUGACAGCGAGGAUGACAAGAAGAAGAAGAAGAAAAAGCAGAAGAAGGACGAAGGGCAGAAAGAGUGUGUCCGGGACGAUGUUAUCAUAUGUAGUCCUGGUGGCCAGAUGGAGCAGCCGGGUGCAGAAGGUGCAGAAGGUGUGAAGAUGAGCCAGGAUUGUAACUCCUCAGAUGGUGAAGAUGACAAGAAGAAGAAGAAGAAGAAGAAGAAGAAGAAGAAGAAGCAGGACAAGAAGAAGAAGAAAAAGAAGAAGGAUUCGUCUUCUUCCUCAUCUGACUGUUCCUGCUCCGACUGCGAGGACGAAAAGAAGAAGAAGAAGAAGAAGAAGAAGAAGAAGAGGAAGAAGAAGGACUCAAGCUCCUCUUCCUCAGACAGCUCUUCAUCAUCCUCUGACAGCGAGGAUGACAAGAAGAAAAAGGACAAGAAGAAGAAGAAGAAGAAAAAGAAAGACAAGAAAAAGGAUUCCAGCUGCUCGUCUUCAUCUUCAUCUUCUGACAGUGAUAAAGAUGAGAAGAAAAAGAAGAACAAGAAGAAGAAGAAGAAGAAGAAGAAGAAGAAUGACAAGGAAAAGAAGAACAAGAAACACGAUGAAGAGCAGAAUGAGCUCUGCGGUGGAGCUGCUCCUCCAGCUUCUGGUGAGUGUUUUUCUGCAGGUGGUGAGACUCCGGGACCAAGUGCUGAUGGAGAGAAAAAGAAAGACGAUUCUGCCGACAAGGUCAAGAAAGAGCCUAAAGAAAAAGAAAAAUGUGGAGCAAAGGCCUUCGCUGACGCUAUUGAGGAAGGCCACCUGAGUGACGACGAGGGAGAAGGAGAGAACCACAAGAAGAAGAAGAAGAAGAUGCUGAAGAAGAAGAAGGAGAAGGGUUCCGGCUCAUCAUCAGACAGUGAUGACGACGAAGAAGACAAGAAGAAGAAAAAGAAGAAGAAGGAGAAGGACUCCUCCAGCUCCUCCUCUUCGUCUGAUAGUUGCUCCUCAGAUAGUGAUGAGGACAAGAAGAAGAAGAAGAAGAAGAAGAAGAAGGAUUCUGGAUCCUGCUCGUCUUCUUCAUCCUCUGAUAGCGAAGAGGACAAGAAGAAGAAGAAGAAGAAGAAGAAGAAGAAGAAGAAGAAAAAGAAGAAGAAGAUGAAGGAUAAGGACUCCUCCUCUUCUUCAUGCUCGGAUAGUGAAGAGGACAAGAAGAAGAAGAAGAAGAAGAAGAAGAAGAAGAAGACGAAGAAGAAGAAGAAGGAUAAGGACUCCUCGUCUUCUUCAUGCUCUGAUAGUGAAGAGGACAAGAAGAAGAAGAAGACGAAGAAGAAGAAGGAUAAGGACUCGUCCUCUCCUUCAUGCUCUGAUACUGAAGAGGACAAGAAGAAGAAGAAGAAGAAGAAGAAGAAGUCCUCUUGCGCUGAGAGUGAUGACGACAAGAAGAAGAAGAAGAAGAAGAAAGAUAAGAAGAAGAAGAAGAAAAAGAAGGAUUGUUCCUCUGGAUCGUCCAGUGAUUCGAGUGAUAAUGACAAGAAGAAGAAGAAGAAGAAGAAGAAGAAGAAAAGGAAAGAUAAGAAGAAAAAGAAAGACAAGAAGAAGGACUCCGAUUCUUCUACCAGUGCUGAUGACAAAAAGAAGAAGAAAGACAAGAAGAAGAAAAAGAAGGACAAAAAGAAGGACUCAAAGUCCAGUUCAUCGUGUCCAUCUGACGGCAGUGACAAGGAGAAUAAAAAGGACAAGAAGAAGAAGAGGUCUGGUUCAUCAGGAAGUGAAACUGACAAUAAGAAAAAGAGGGAAUGCUCUGAUGGCGAGCGAGGCGGCGAAGAUCCCGGUGCCGGUCGGGCCGGACUUUCAGCUCCCGGUGGCAGCUGCUCUACGCCUGCCGCUGCUCCCGCCGUCCCCUACGUGUCCCUCCCCUCCAAACCUGUUGUGAAGAUGGAUCCUCUGCGUCCUUCAACUGUCUGCCGGCCCUCUGCCCCUGUCUCCUCUGCCCCCGCCUCUUCUGCCCCUGUCUCCUCUGCCCCCGCCUCUUCUGCCCCUGUCUCCUCUGCGCCCGCCUCUUCUGCCCCUGUCUCCUCUGCGCCCGCCUCUUCUGCCCCCGCCUCUUCUGCCCCUGUCUCCUCUGCGCCCGCCUCUUCUGCCCCUGUCUCCUCUGCGCCCGCCUCUUCUGCCCCUGUCUGCUCUGCCCCCGCCUCUUCUGUCCCUGGGUCCUAUGUCCCUGGGUCCUUUGUCGCUGGCUCCUAUGUCCCUGGGUCCUAUGUCCCCGGCUCCUCGAGUGUUGGAGAUAAGGCCCCCAAUCGUAGGCCUCCCAGCCCCAUGGAGGCCCUGAUGGGGAGCCCGAGGCGGUACGGCUCCUCCCAUCUCAGCUCAAGCGACCUAUUGAAAGGCCCCAAGCCUUAUCAAUGAUGAGAUCAAAACACGCGUUACUCGUGUUUCCUUUUAAAGCAACUGGAGGAUGUCGACCAUGAGAGGAGAUAUGAUUCCUUGAUUUCAUGCUGGAUAAAUGUGAUGACUGGUGGAAAAACGUAUUGUGACACGAUGAAAAUGUCCAAGAUGAGAAGUAUAAUCCAAACAUGGAAAGUCACGAUUGUGUUUUUAAUCAAUAAAGCGCACAUGUGUAAUAAUA
ensembl:lncRNA